CAGAAGGCAGCCCCGCCUUCCUUGCGCUCCGCCUUCCUAAUGUCACUGCUGGAUCGUGAGAGCCGCCUGCCUUGGCCUCCCAAAGUGCCGAGAUUGCAGCCUCUGCCCGGCCGCCACCCCGUCUGGGAAGUGAGGAGCAUCUCUGCCUGGCCGCCCAUCAUCUGGGAUGUGAGGAGCCCCUCUGCCUGGCUGCCCAGUCUGGAAAGUGAGGAGCGUCUCCGCCCGGCCGCCAUCCCACCUAGGAAGUGAGGAGCACCUCUGCCCGGCCGCCAUCACAUCUAGGAAGUGAGGAGCGUCUCUGCCCGGCCGCCCAUCAUCUGAGAUGUGGGGAGCGCCUCUGCCCCGCCGCCCCGUCUGGGAUGUGAGGAGCACCUCUGCCCGGCCGCAACCCCGUCUGGGAGACAGAGUCUCACUCUGCCACCCAGGCUGAAGUACAGUAGUGCAAUCUUGGCUCACUGCAGCUUUGACCUCCUGGGCUCAAGCUUUGACCUCCUGCCCUCAGCCUCCCAGGGAAUAGCUGGGACUACAAGAUUUCCUACAUAAUACAAAAAUUAGCUGGGAGUGGUGGUAUGCGCCUGUGGUCCCAACUACUCAAGAGGCUGAGGCGGGAGAAUCGCUUGAACCUGGGAGGAAGAGGUUGUGGUGAGCCGAGAUCAUGCCAUUGCACUCCAGCCUAGGCGACAGAGCAAGACUCUGUCUCAAAAAAGGAUUUCCUACAUAUAAAAUCAUGGCAUUUGUAAAUAAAGAGAAUUUCACUUUU
rnacentral:lncRNA from 10 species